AUAUUUACCUGGCCAGGGAGAUACCAUGAUCACAAAUGUGGUUUUCUUAUGCUGAGUCUAAUCCAUUGCACUUCUGAGGUAGUGACCCCUGCAAUUUCCCCAGAUGCAGGGGACUCAACUGUAUAAUGUGUGGUAAUAGGGAACUGUGUUCAUGUUUUUUUCUA